GACAUAUGAUAGGGAAAGAAAGUCCUGUCAGACUUCCAAGUGUGCUGAAACUACUUUUGAAAAUUGAGUCCUGCAGAGCUGCAGUUUUCACUGGAUUGUCAAUCCUAUGAACUAGAUUAAACUAACAAGCAUGACAAUCACCUGAUGGAGUAUUUCCCAUGGGAAGUACUUCCUUAAAGAACCUCUCCCACACAUUAUGGAUUCUGCCAGAAAGUAUGUUCC